GAGAUCACUAAACUAUUCCUUUUAUUUUCAUGAUGAAGACAAUUUCAAUCUAUGCUUUUACAUGCCUUUGUGGAAUGAUCUUUGUCACUGCUAACGAACAAGGGAAUAAAAGUUGCAACUAUAGAACAUUUCUCACAACGUGUUGUAGCAAUGACGUCAACAUCCAUUAUAAUGAUUAUACAAUUAGAAAAAUAUGCAAAGCCUGUAUUGGACUUCCGUGUAGAAAGUGUUCCUGGGGAUAUUAUGGAGAUCAGUGUAAUGAAACAUGUACUUGUAGUACUGAGCUAUGCCACGAUGUGUUAGGAUGUGUAACAGCUGGUGAACAAUUGUAUAAAAUAUUUGUGAUAUGAUCAUUUUAUUGACAUGCAUUAACAUCAAUAUCUUUCAAUCGGUUAAAAAGUACGAUUCUA